rnacentral:rRNA from 1 species
UACGAAGGGGGCUAGCGUUGUUCGGAAUUACUGGGCGUAAAGGGCGCGCAGGCGGCUCUUCAAGUCAGAUGUGAAAGCCCCGGGCUCAACCUGGGAACUGCAUUUGAGACUGGAGAGCUUGAGUUCGGGAGAGGAUGGUGGAAUUCCCAGUGUAGAGGUGAAAUUCGUAGAUAUUGGGAAGAACACCGGUGGCGAAGGCGGCGACCUGGUCCGAUACUGACGCUGAGGCGCGAAAGCGUGGGGAGCAAACAGG